rnacentral:rRNA from 1 species
AGCUCCAAUAGCGUAUAUUAAAGUUGUUGCAGUUAAAAAGCUCGUAGUUGGAUUUCGGAAUGGGUCAGUUGGUCCGCCUCACGGUGUGUUACUGACUGGUCUGUUCUUCUUCGCAAAGACUGUGUAUUCUCUUUGUUGAGUGUGCGCAGGAUUUACGACGUUUACUUUGAAAAAAUUAGAGUGUUCAAAGCAGGCCUACCGCUUGAAUACAUGAGCAUGGAAUAAUGGAAUAGGACUUUGGUCUUAUUUUGUUGGUUUCUAAGACCGAAGUAAUGAUUAAGAGGGACAGUUGGGGGCAUUAGUAUUUCGUUGUCAGAGGUGAAAUUCUUGGAUUUACGAAAGACUAACAACUGCGAAAGCAUUUGCCAAGAAUGUUUUCAUUAAUCAAGAACGAAAGUAG